UACGAGGGGGGCAAGCGGUUGUUCGGAAUUAUUGGGCGUUGAAAGGGCGCAGGUAGGCGGUGCGGGUAAGUCACCUGUGAAAUCUCCGGGCUUAACUCGGCAGCCUGACAGGCGAAACUGCCGUGCUUGAGUGUGGGAGAGGUGCGUGGAAUUCCCGGUGUAGCGGUGAAAUGCGCAGAUAGUCGGAGGAACGACCGGUGGCGAAGGCGGGUUCUCUGGGCCUU
rnacentral:rRNA from 1 species